GUUGAACGUGGCAGAUCUUUUCUCUUACGUGGGAUCUGUUGGGUGGUUUUAUAUAUAUAUUUGAUGUGAGAAAAGAACAAGAUGAUCCAACCUAGUUCUUGAGGAUCGAGCUAUGUUGCCGAGGAAUCCGGGGACAGGUCAAAGAAGAAUACUGAAACACUCUUCAUUCGAUCUACAUUAUCUCAAUAAACAAUAUCAACUAUCAAAAUCCUGUCAAUGCUGUCGCCCCAAUUUUCAAAACCUCUACUCCUUCUUACUAUACCUACUCCUUUCUACCACACAUACCCUACACCUUUCUAUCUACAAUAAUACAAUGAAACUCAUCAUACCGCUUUUCUUUCUAUUUCUCAUCUUUACCUUCAAUGUCUUUUAUGUUUUUCAAGGGGAAGCACUUAUCACCCAAGGAGUUCCGCCUUCUGGGAGUUCUGCAACUAUUACAGGUGGGUGUGAAAAGCAAAGGGGUGAAUACAAGGAAGAAAGAAGUGGGUCGGAAGAAAGUGUAUUAGAGAAUGAAGAUUAUGUCUAUACCAACUCCUUGCCUUAGAUGUUAAAGUUUAGCUUCGUUGCUUGUCUUGUAGUAAGAGGAAUUCUUCUGCGGGAUAAUGUGCUGAUGUCCAAAUGUAAAGGAUCUAUAACUUCUUGCUGUUGAGUGGUAUUUGAUUAGUAAAGCUCUGUCUUCUCGAUUGGAGUUGGCUCA